rnacentral:lncRNA from 1 species
GAGAUAGAUGGACAGGUGGAUAGAUAGGUAGACAGGAUGGAUAGAUGAUAGAAGAUAGAUAGAUGAUUGACAGGUAGAUAGACAGAAUGGGUCGAUGACAGAGAGAUAGAUGGACAGCCAGAAUUGGUAGAUGAUAGACAGAUGAUAGAAUUGAUAGAUGAUAGACCCCGAUUAGUGGAUUAAUCCACUUCAGCUGGGUGGUUCCUGAUUUUCUUGUACUGACCCCACAAACCAGGAGUGGGGGACACCCCGUCUCUCUGUUUGCUCUCUUCGUCUCUCGUCUCUCCGUCUUAUCUCUGUCACCAUCUCCCCGUGCCUGCGUCUCUCACAUCUCUCCUCCUCUCGUCUCUCAUCUCUGUCUCUGUCUCACCCCCCCACACCCACUAGCUCAGGGCUGGAGGGUGGUCAGGGGACCCUCUCCUGCAGGACUCCUCCCCUGGAGGUGACGUUGCAGCCACAGGAGGAGCGCACACCCCAGGAACGCCCUGUCCUCAUCCCCGGCCGCCCUGAGGCUGCAGCCCCCAGCACUCAGUGUGAACCUCACCCACUACCACCCACUCGGGUGCUCCCUGCUCCCCGUGGUGCCCGAGGCUCCGUCCCAUGGACACAGUGAAUUUAAAAGGCUCAGGCUCCACUGGGCGUGG